GACGAACGCUGGCGGCGUGCCUAAUACAUGCAAGUAGAACGAGUUGCGAACGGGUGAGUAACGCGUGGUAACCUGCCUCAUAGCGGGGGAUAACUACUGGAAACGGUAGCUAAUACCGCAUACCAUCAGAUGUGCCCAGAUGGGAUGAGCUAGUAGGUGGGGUAACGGCUCCCCUAGGCGACGAUCCCUAGCUGGUCAGAGAGGAUGACCAGCCGCACUGGAACUGAGACACGGUCCAGACUCCUACGGGAGGCAGCAGUGGGGAAUAUUGCACAAUGGGCGCAAGCCUGAUACAGCCAUGCCGCGUGUGUGAAGAAGGCCUUCGGGUUGUAAAGCACUUUCAGCGGGGAGGCGUUACCCGCAGAAGAAGCACCGGCUAACUCCGUGCCAGCAGCCGCGGUAAUAC
rnacentral:rRNA from 1 species